GCAUCUCUCUGGGGAGAGAGAAGAGGGGGGCCCUGCCUCUAAAAUGCAUCUCUCUGGGGAGAGAGAGGAGGGGGGCCCUGCCUCUAAAAUGCAUCUCUCUGGGGAGAGAGAGGAGGGGGGCCCUGCCUCCAAAAUGCAUCUCUCUGGGGAGAGAGAGGAGGGGGGCCCUGCCUAUAAAAUGCAUCUCUCUGGGUAGAGAGAGGAGGGGGUUCCUGCCUAUAAAAUGCAUCUCUCUGUGGGACAUGACACCAAAGCUAAGAGCCCAAUCAAGCAGGAGAGACCAGCCUCCCCUGUACCCAGCUGUGUGUCCAUGAAGAGUGGCCGGUCUAUGGGUCAUCCAAUAAAGUUUAGAGAGGGAGACUUUUCUACUGAACAAAGAAACCAACAGGAGAGAUCAGAGUCAGAGAUUCUCAGUGGUCAGUCUUCCCAGAGUCAUCAA